AUGUUUAAAGUCUGGCACCGCCUCCCACGCGCUCGUCUCCAACUCCCUUAUCACCUUCUACUCCUCCCUCCCGCGGCCCCUCGUCCCCGCGAACCUGGUCGUCUUCGCGGACAUCCCCAUCGUCGCCCGCGACGUCGCCUCGUGGAAAUUCCUGCUCAACCCACUCUCGCACCACCGCCCCCGUGCCGUGCUCUCCCACUUCCGCUCCAUGCUAUUUUCGUCCUCGCCUGCCAUCCUCCCGUCUUCUCACUCUUUUGCCGCCGUCUUCACAGCCGCUGCCCCACGGACGCAAACACCGCAGACCAAGUGAUGGUGUUUGCGUCGUCUAAGGAGAGGAACUCCAUUACUUGGUCUGCGGUGAUCACUGGGUACGCACAGAAUGGGAAUGCAGAAAGUGCAUUUAGAAUAUUUUUGCAGAUGCUUACUGAAGGGUUUUCACACCAAGUGAGUUCACUGGUUGGUGUGCUCAAUUCGUGUAGUGAUGUGGGAGCAUCGAUGGAAGGAAAGCAGGCACAUGGUUGA
rnacentral:rRNA from 1 species